GUAGUCCGGUUCGAGUCCCGGCCGUUCUUGUGGUCAUUUACCACCUCGCACGGGGGAACAUUUGGAAUUACAUGCUGCCCUCAUCUGAUUCUUUCUCCAUGCUGGACAUGAUCAUUCGGCUGAAUAGAUUAACUCCUAGUUACUUCCGACUAUUACAGAUGCAGCUUGCGGGUGAGGCCGUGGUCCACAGUACUGACCGACUCAUUAACCUUUCUGCACUGCUCCUUGCUGUAAUGGGUAUUGGUGUGUCCUCCUAUAGCGUCAGGAGGAUGACUGAGAAAGGAGACUCUCCAUCAAGCAGCUGAAGCCAUGGCAAACUAAGAGACAGGGACAUCAGAGGACAAGAACAAACUGCAACAAAAUGAAUAAUGGCCAGAGAUCCACAUAACACAGUCCCCUCAUGGCAUUCCAUUCAAAUAGAAAAAACAAAAAGGGGAAUAGUUGAGAAAAUGAAUGAUUGGAUGCAGCUGCUGCUCCCAACGUUCCUGAAUGGUAUCAAUGGGACAGUGAGGAUCUUCCAUGUGGACUUAGGUGAUAACUGAUAAAAUGUUGGUUGAGGUCCAGUACAAAGUGUCACUGCAAUUGAAUCACUUAAAGUUGUUGUAUUAACAGCAAGUUGCAAACUCAAGGAAUGUUUGGUGUCACUUGUAACAAGGCCUUUCUGACCUGCAUGUCCUACCAAUUGUAAUUUAAGGGCAUACCACUGGUGUAGCCCACCAGAUUGUUGGGUUCGGGGCUUGGUUGUUGGGCCUGAGUAUUUUAGCUUGGACUCCCCUCUGUACAUGGUAUCCUGGAUUUGCAUAUUUGUAAUACAGUGCUUGGGAAUGGCUUAGAACACAAAGAUCAGAUUGUGGAGAAUGAAUCCAGUAUCGCUGGGGCCAGCCUAAUGAGUAGCGGGGUGCCCCUACUACCACUGGUACAAUAUUUGCUCAUUUCUCUGGGUUAAUGUCAAUUGAAGUGCAGCUCUAAGUUGUGAGACAAAGGCCAUUCGUAUUCUACUGGCAGAUUCAAACGUGCUUUUCAUUGUGGUGCUCUCGCAGCUGAAUAAAAAUACCAUCAUUGCAGAGUUGAAUUUAGCUGGUGAUUUGAAUACUUGCGUAAAAAUAAGUUAAUUCAGUCACUUCGCUGUCUCCUGACUCACCCUGACACUUGACUCC